rnacentral:tRNA from 1 species
UGGAAAGUGCACCAUUCGGCAGGUGAGCACGCUGUUAACGUGCCGUAUGCUGGUUCGAGUCCAGCCUUUCCAGCCA